rnacentral:lncRNA from 1 species
CUACUCUUGCCUUCAUUUUCUUCACAUCUUUCUUAAGUAACCUCUUUGCACAAAUAUCUCUAUAAAAGUUUUAAAGAUGAAUAACAAUCAUUCUUAUAUUUUUUUUUGCAAUACUUGAUGAAUAGCUAUUGUGUUAACCCACUAAGUGAUUUUAAUGAUGAUCAAACAUUGGAGCACAGAAGUAUUAAUAUUUUCUUUUUAAGUGUUGUA